GGCUGGCUCAGGAUGAGAAAGGGAUCCGGAAGGGUGGAAAGGAAAGGAGGGCUAGGGAGUCAUCUUUGUCCCUUUUCCGGAACGGAACGCCGCUUUGAGGGAAAAGCGCCUCGCCCUGAAAAUACAAACCCAGAGCCCAGGCAGCGGGUCGUCGUGGGGCCAGCACCCCUCGGGGCUCCGGUCGUGUCCUGAGGCAUUCGGGACUGUCCGGACCCCCUGGGCCCUUUUUUCAAGAGUUGGCAGUGAUCUGGCAUAUUUAGGGACAAUACUUGUGAUUUCCGGGGCUCAGCACCUGCUCUUGGAUCUUCUCAAGGCCUGCUAGAUUUCAGAAUCUCAAAGGUUUGGCCACCGCACUCCCAACCCCUAAGGAAAGGAUGGGAGAUGAAUUAUUAAAGGACACCGGGGCCAUUAGCAUAUCGGGCCUCACCUCUCUGGGGCCCUUGCCCUUGAGCAACUGAAUGUUUUAUUGAAGAGGAAAAAACAUGCACGAAAAAGAUAAAACCAUUUACAAACUGUUUCCAAACUUACAAUUAACAAAUGAAGAAGGAAAUAAAUGGAAACAUCAUUACCUUUACACUGAGGAGGGUCACUACUCCACUUGUUAUUCCCAACACAAAUAAGUUUGCUGUCUCCAACAAGUGAAAAUUCGUCUGAUCCUUGUGAAGGAUUACAACUGUUUACCCUUGAGCUUCAUAGUUUCGAAUUUUGGUGGUUCACCACAGGCAUCUAGUGAUAAGACAACGAGAAUAUGAAAAUGAAGUAUUUAUCUCUUUCACCAGCAAGGCUCUGGUCUGGCACCAGAGAACUGUUUCUCCCUGAUCAGCUACUGUUUCUUUUCAGACCCUACUAAAAAAACUCAGAAGAUUUUUCUGCAGCAGCCUGGUUUCAAGGUCAAUGGAUGAACAAGCGAGGCCAUACAUUCCUUACCUGAGAUAAGGAGUCCAAGACCCAAUCCAGGUUAUACUGGCUCUCAGAGCAGACCCAUAGCCCCUUCUCCUUGUCCUAAGAUAACUGCAUGAGGCCGGGGUGCUAAAUUUUGCCUCCUUCUGAUGCUAAGUAUCCACCCCAAAGGGAACGUGGGAUAUAUGUUUGCGGUCACUGAAUGCACAUGCUCUACCUCUCCUCAUGAUUAGUUGUAAAUUUCCCCACUGUUUUAUCAAUAUGUAUAUAAUCCCAACCCUAUGAUUAUUAAAGAAAAAAAACUUGUUCUUGCCUCCCUCAGAGAGGGGGCUUUGGGGCUUGUUCUCCCAUCCCCUCCUUGGGUUGCGUCUCAAAUAAACUUUCUUCGCUACAUAUCCGAUAGCUUUGUGCUGGGCUUUGCUGCAUAUCAGGCAGAUGAACUUGUCUUUGGUUCAAUCCCCACAUGCUCCACUUGGAAAGUGUCAAGCUAUCUCAAAUAACAUUAUGAAGGCAGAGUGUGGCCUCUUGACUCUUCAGCCUCACGUAUGCCCAGCAAACAAGAUAGAGGGUUUUCACAACUGAAAUUCCUGUUCCAUCUCUCUAAUUCUGCCUUUCCUUUGAGCUCAAAUCACCACCCUGUCUUAUCUACAUUGCCACUAGCAUUUCUGAAUGCCACCAGCACUCCAGACUUCCCAUGCAUCAUUUAACUUUUCGACCAGAGAUUCCCAGUCCCUCCCGCCCACUCAUCCCUCAGCUUCCGCUGAGAUGCCACUUCUUAUGGCUCUUGACAUCUCUCAUCGAAAAACUGGGUUAGGUAUCCUCAUGAUGUCCCAUUUACCUCUUCCAGAGAACACUUCAAAGUGUUAGUCUUUAUUGUUCAUACUCCCUAUGAGACAGUCACCUUCUGAGGACCAUGUGUGUUUCAUCACUGCACUUCCAAUGCCUGGUGCCAGAGCUGAAUGAGCACUGUCAUCAGUUCCAUACGCUCUCAGAUCAAAACUCAAAUUCUUUUCUGCUCAGCUAACUUCUUCCGGAGAUAGCGGCAAAUUAUAGUUUUUUUUUCCCUGCUGUUUUACGCCUGUCUUCAAACUUUUUCCUUCGGUUUAACGACAACUAUUUCCCCUUGUCAGAGUAUUUAAUUUCUUUCAUGUCAAUCUAUCUAUGCUUUCUUGUUUUAUUAUGAACGCUUUCUCCCUUACAGCUAUUAUUAGAAACAGUAUUUUGACAUUACAGAAGGUGAACCCAAACACUGGGGAUUUUGUUUUCUCACAAAGUACAGUAAUGAAGGAUUCUGUAUCCUGUUUUCUCAAACAACAGUGGUGACACUAAUAAUUUUAGAAAUUGCAAACAUUCAACACUACUUGUGCAACCAUUAUUUUAAGAGCAUUUUAACUAACAAUCUUCAUACGCAUCCAAUGAGUUGGGUUCUAUCCACCCUCUCCCCACCCCACCCCAUAAGAUGAGCAAACUGAGGCAAGGGGAUUAAGUAAAUUACCCCCAAAAAUAUUCCAGCAGCGAGGCAGCCUGGUUCCACUACCAACACUUCUUCCCACCACAUUCGUCUGAAACCCUCCCGCGCUUACACCAACAAUCUACAAUGUGGUCCUCAAGAAAUGAUCUUCUACUGAGUCUAGAGAAAUUAAAGUAACUCUGGUUUAGAUUUGCCAUGUGCCAACUCAAACAAAAGGGCUCAAGGUGCCCUAAAAAGACAGAUGCUAACGUCAUGUCUGAAUUUUAAUGAUGGUGACUGUUCAUUCUUGACUAUCCUGUUGCUGUCACAGUGAUCAGCUCUGUGAUCCAGUCCUCUGCCUUUCUCUCGCCUCUGUGUCCUCCUGCUGCCACACCGGGUAGCUCCACAGUCCAUGGAUGCCCUAAGCCAUGUCACAUCGCUAAGCCUCUGAUCACACCGUUCCCUCUGCUCUGAACACCCUUCCUACCUGCUCACCCGCAAGCCCUGUUCAACUCUCGUCUCCUUACACUGGAUCCACUCAACUGCUCCUCCAGCAAGCGUUUUCCACUUCCCCGGGGAGGCAGGGCCCCUUCCCCUUCCCUUGCACCGUCCUUUGCAUGGACCUCUCAAGUCACUAUCACAUGUUUUUGUGUUUAACAGUUCCCAUGGCUGGCUCCAUUCAUCCAUGCAGCCACAACACCAAGCACAGCAUGUCCCUCAGAGUAGCGAGGCAAAACAACAUGGCACUCAAAGGACCACUGGUGUUAAACAGAACACCAUGGGGAAGAAUACGCUGUCAGGCAUCUGACAUUGAAACUAACCAUCUUUAAGCUUGAAGCACUGGAGAAAGAUCUGGCCAUGUCAUUUCUUCUGUUGCCUAUCUCCCAGUAUUCUGUAACCUAGCAACUGACCAGAAGGACUGUCCUCUGGGUAUUACAAUACGUAGAGUAAAGAAACUAAGAAACUAGCAUGUAAGCACUUACAGAUCUUGGCUUCUUUAAUUAGAGAGAAAGAAAAGACCUAACGAUAUGACCCACAACAGGAGAUAGUGGGUUUUAUACAAACCAGCAGACCCUUUGGAGAAGAAUGAGACUGGUCCCGAAACUGGACAAAUGUUCCCUUCUGCCAUCUCGUGCAGCUGGCAACUAACUACCUCUGAGGUGGUGGGCUUCCGGGCACAACACUGUCUGCCUACACACCUUCUCCUGAGAGGAUGAGAUGCAUCAAAACUGAUCUGUGUACUCCCUUCCCAUUCUUUCCCUGCCCAACGUAAUGAGGGCUCAUUUGUACUUUCCCUAAUUUCAUACCUGUCCUGAUUUUACCUUUAAAAAAAAUUUUUUUUUUAAUCUUUAUUUUUGAGAGACAGAGUGCAAAUAGGGGAGGGGCAGAGAGUCAGGGAGACACAGAAUCGGAAGCAGGCUCCAGGCUCCGAGCCAUCAGCACAGAGCCCGACACAGGACUCAAACUCACGAAUCGUAAGAUCAUGACCUGAGCUGAAGUCGGACACUCAACCGACUGGGCCACCCAGGCACCCCAUGAUUUUACCUUUGAACCUUACACUUGGCUUUGAUUUCCCUUUUCUUCGUUUUAAAGUCUUAUUCCCUUCCAUGUUGCACUCUGUUCAUUUCAGUUGUCUCUUUCCUCUAUUCCAAAUGACAUUCAGAGUCUCCUUCCCCUUUUAGCUAUAAGGCUAAUCUAACCUUGAUCCUUUUUAAAAACUUCUUUUUCUUUUCUUUUUACCACCACUGGCCCCUCUCCA